rnacentral:rRNA from 1 species
UACAGAGGGGGCAAGCGUUGUUCGGAAUUACUGGGCGUAAAGGGCGCGUAGGCGGCCCGCUAAGUCGAACGUGAAAUCCCCGGGCUCAACCCGGGAACUGCGUCCGAUACUGGCAGGCUUGAAUCCGGGAGAGGGAUGCGGAAUUCCAGGUGUAGCGGUGAAAUGCGUAGAUAUCUGGAGGAACACCGGUGGCGAAGGCGGCAUCCUGGACCGGUAUUGACGCUGAGGCGCGAAAGCGUGGGGAGCAAACAGG